AGCUCAUUCUUGUAAAAUGUUGUAUGCUCACUAAUGUUGGUCAGAGCAGGUGCAGUGUUAAACGUAUCUCAGCCUUUUACCUCAUGUUUUGUAUAAUUAUAUACUGACUUUUCUUCGUAUCAUUGAGAUAAUUUACAUAAUUUUUUUCGUACAUCUCAAUUUGUAUCCUGACUCAUUAUUUGUAAGGUGACUAAAUUGUUAUCCAAUAGAUGCAAUUGGACUGAUUAUUUGGGAGGUUAUGCUAUAGUGCUUCAACCGUAUGAUCAAGACCUCCUUAGUUUAUUUUCCAUAAAGUGUGGUGCUGAGUGCUUGUAGUGUCAAGAGCACCAUGUAGACAAAUUUACUCUCUGCUAGUUUGAAAACAUGAAAGCGAGAACAGACUGAACAGUGCAUGUCUUAAGUUUUAACUUUUAUAAUGCGACAUUGUAUUUGGCACUCGUUUGUUUUCAUGGGCAACAAAAAAAGGAAACAAAUUCAGACUUGCUAAAAAAAAAGAGUUCAUUGUUUUGCAAAUCUCAUCGUCAUUGUAUAUUUCUCUCUUCUUCAAUGACAGAUGGUGAUUUCCCUAGUCCUUCCUUACCUUCAACCAGGAAACUGAAAAAACAGAGUCAAGAAUUCCAACAUCGUUUGGAGGAAUUGAGUAAUCUAAGGGAGCAAAUACGAGCUCUGGCAAGGGAGAUACAAUCAGUCACUCGACUCAUAUAUGGCGUUUUCAUGGGUAUGAUUUUCUAACCAUUAAGUGCUGGUCAGGCUAGUGGCAAAUUGCAAUUAUUGGAUAAUCUUCUUCAAAAACUUCAUGCUUGUGGACAUAGGGUUCUUCUUUUCUCUCAGAUGACUCAAACACUUGAUAUACUCCAGGUUAAUCUUGUACAGGAUUAUCAGGAUUAUUUGGAACUGAUGAAGUAUUCUUAUGAGCGUCUUGAUGGUUCAAUUCGUGCGGAAGAGCGCUUUGCUGCAAUCAAGAGCUUUAGUCAUAAUAGAUCAAAGUAUGAAGCUCAACAAAAUGCAGCAUUUGUUUUCUUGAUUUAAACAAGAGCUGGUGGAGUUGGGUUGAAUCUUGUGGCUGCUGAUACAGUGAGUGACAACUACUGGCCGAACUUUUAUUAUCGAAUUGGUUUAAGAUUAUAUACUCAGGUUAACCCUUAUAUUGUACAAGUAUUUUUUCUAAAUAUAUAUUGUACAGGUAAGGAGUGUUCAUUCAUCAACGUUUUCUUAUCUUGAUAUAUGGAAAGAGGUGAUAUAGACACUUGGAUUAUACGCUAGAGUGAAAUUAUAAUGAACAGGUCAUAUUUUACGAGCAAGAUUGGAAUCCUCAAGUAGACAAGCAGGCCUUGUAGCGUGCUCACCAUUUAUGGAGCCUUUCAUUUUGUUUAUGGGGACUGCACCCGUCCUUCUAAAGUGUCUCCAUCAGACCCGACCAUCAUAUUCAGGUGUAUAUGAAACGUUUAUCUUUUCAGGUCAAGCUUGUGAUGCUUAUCACAACUUGUAUAGAAAGUAUUUUUACUAUUGUUUUAAUUGCACAUGCGUGUUAAGUUUUCCAUUAUUGGGUUGGAUAUGUUCGUGAGUACUAAAAUUAUUAAUUUUGAUAUAAACAGAGGACAGUCUUAGGAGUUGUUUUGAAUGAAAGUAGCAUAGCAAUUUAAUGAGACGGAUUAAUUAGUUUCGUGCAAUUUCAGAUUUCAACUUCUGAUUCCAACACUAGAAGGGCCCUUUUCCUGUGAUUGAUUAGUUUUUACUGAUGAUAUAGGUGUAUUUUACUUUCUCCAAUAUCAUGUUUUUCUCUACUAUUAGAUCCUACUUGAACUUGUUCUGGGAAGUGGGAGGGUUAUUAACAGUACUUUGUUCUGUAGCAAGUUUACUCUGGCUUUACCUUACACCACCAUGGAGAGGGAAUCAAAGGCUCUUACUAUUGAUGAUUUAUGCCUUUUCCUUCGGGGCAUCUGUUGGCCUUCUUACCAAAUAUCUCUUCGAAAUGCAACAAAAAAAAAUGCCGGUAAUUGAAUUUGAAUUGUGGCCAGAAGUAAACUCGAUCUAUUGUAGUGAACGAUGAAGAGUUUUUGUAGUACUAUUGUCAUAUAUGUUUGAAUACAUUUGGUUUUGUGGAAUUUAUUGAUAGUAGAGAUCUUUAAG